CUAAAUUGAUUUGGCUUGAUUUAGUCUGUUAAUUUUUUUUUCGUUUUUCUAAUUCAGUUCAAUUCUAUUUUCUCCUUAAUUCCCUUUGAUAUGGUUUGGUCUAUUAAAAAUUUUGAUUUAUUCAUUUUUUUAAUUUUCAAAUCGAACCAAACAGAACAAUGCUCAUCUUUAGUGGGAUUUUGUCAUUGGCAGGGAAACCUGCCAUUAGCAGAAAAUGUGAGCACAAGGUGGCUAGAGUUUUUUUUUGUUUCUUUCCUUUUUGAUACAAAGGUGGGAGAGACCCCAUAAAAACAGCAUACGAGAAUGCAAAGUUGAUGUUUUAAUUUAGAAGUAAAGGAAAAUUUUUUUAUACCUCUGUUUCCUGAGAAAUUGUGGUGGCAACUGUCUGG
rnacentral:misc_RNA from 1 species